rnacentral:rRNA from 1 species
GAUGAACGCUGGCGGCGUGCUUAAUACAUGCAAGUCGAGCGAACAGACGAGGAGUUUGCUCCUCUGACGUUAGCCGCGCACGGGUGAGUCACAUGUGGAUCACCCACCUAUCAUACUGGGAUAAUUUCGGGAAUCCGGAGCUAAUCCCGUAUAAUAUAUUGCUCCGUAUGGUUCAUUAGUGAAAGACGGUUUUGCUGUCUCUUCUAGAUGGUUCCGAGCUGCAUUAGCUAGUUGUUAAGGUAACGGCCUACCAAGGCUACGAUGCGUAGCCGAAGUGAGAGAGUGAUCGGCGACACUGGAACUGAGACACGGUCCAGACUCCUAAGGGAGGCAGCAGUAGGGAAUCGUCCGCAGUGGGCGAAAGCCUGACAGAGCAGCGCGGAGUGAGAGAUGAAGGUCUUCGGAUCGGAAAGCUCUGUUAUUAGGGAAAAACAAAUGUGGAAGUAACCAUGCACGUCGUGACGGUAACGGAUCAGAAAGCCACGGCUAACUACGUG